ACAUUUGUAGUGUAGUGGUUUGAGCAUUGGACUAUACCUCUGGAGAUCAGGGUUCGAUUCCCAGCUCGAGUU